rnacentral:rRNA from 1 species
GACGAACCGUGCGAACGUUAUUCGGAAUCAUUGGGCUUAAAGCGUGCGCAGGCGGUUCGUUGUGUCGGCGGUGAAAGCCCCGGGCUCAACCUGGGAAUGGCCGUUGAAACUGGCGAACUGGAGUGUGGCAGAGGGGGGUGGAAUUCCGCGUGUAGCAGUGAAAUGCGUAGAGAUGCGGAGGAACACCGAUGGCGAAGGCAGCCCCCUGGGCUGACACUGACGCUCAGGCACGAAAGCGUGGGGAGCAAACAGG